rnacentral:rRNA from 1 species
UACGUAGGCAGCGAGCGUUGUUCGGAGUUACUGGGCGUAAAGGGUGUGUAGGCGGUUCUUUAAGUUUGGUGUGAAAUCUCCCGGCUCAACCGGGAGGGUGCGCCGAAUACUGAGGGACUAGAGUAUGGGAUGGGAAAGUGGAAUUCCUGGUGUAGCGGUGAAAUGCGUAGAUAUCAGGAGGAACACCGGUGGUGUAAACGGCUUUCUGGACCAUAACUGACGCUGAGGCACGAAAGCGUGGGUAGCAAACAGG